GUCACCUGAGUGUCUUGAUGGUGCUCAAAGAUUCCUGAAAGAAGACGGAAUUUCAAUUCCAUCAUCGUAUACAAGUUUUUUCCAGCCUGUGACUGCUUCCAAAUUAUACAAUGAUAUCAAAUCUCACAAAGAUCUUGUGCACUUCGAAACUGCUUAUGUUGUCAAGUUCCACCGUGUAGCAAGGCUUACUUCUCCUCAACCAGUCUUUACAUUCAAUCAUCCGGAGGACUCAAAUAGGAAAAGCAAUCACCGGUAUACAAAGCUACGAUUUGAGAUACCCACUGACACUGGAUCAGCCCUGGUUCAUGGUUUUGCUGGUUAUUUUGAUGCUGUACUUUACAAAGAUGUUCAUCUUGGUAUUGAACCAUCAACAGCAACACCUAACAUGUUCAGCUGGUUCCCUAUAUUUUUCCCAUUGCGAACACCUAUGUGUGUUCAACCGGGUAUUCCUCUAGAAGUUCAUAUUUGGCGUUGUUGUGGUAUUUCAAAGGUUUGGUACGAGUGGGGCGUGACUUCUCCCAGCUCAUCUCCUAUACACAACUGCAAUGGUCGCUCAUACUGGGUUGGAUUGUAAGAGUUUCUUCAGUGUGUUUUGAGCUUUCGAGAUAGCAUGACGUGAUAUUGAACUUCAAAUGGGUAACAAGUCUAAUGUUACUUGUUAAAACUGUCGUAAUCAUGGCUUCAUAUCGCUCAUCUUUCGACUCCAACUGGUGCUCAACAUGCCAAAUUGAUUGUCUGUGCACUUCAUGGUGCUUUAAAUUUUUUCAGUAGAAAUUUUGUAGAGUUUAGGUUCAGAUAAACCUUAAAACUGCUGUAGUAAAAAUAAUCCUUUUCUUUUAUUGAAUGAAUGUAGUUUGG
rnacentral:misc_RNA from 1 species